GAUGAAUGCUGGCGGCGUGCCUAAUACAUGCAAGUCGAGCGAACGGACGAGAAGCUUGCUUCUCUGAUGUUAGCGGCGGACGGGUGAGUAACACGUGGAUAACCUACCUAUAAGACUGGGAUAACUUCGGGAAACCGUAGCUAAUACCGGAUAAUAUUUUGAACCGCAUGGUUCAAAAGUGAAAGACGGUCUUGCUGUCACUUAUAGAUGGAUCCGCGCUGCAUUAGCUAGUUGGUAAGGUAACGGCUUACCAAGGCAACGAUGCAUAGCCGACCUGAGAGGGUGAUCGGCCACACUGGAACUGAGACACGGUCCAGACUCCUACGGGAGGCAGCAGUAGGGAAUCUUCCGCAAAGGGCGAAAGCCUGACGGAGCAACGCCGCGUGAGUGAUGAAGGUCUUCGGAUCGUAAAACUCUGUUAUUAGGGAAGAACAUAUGUGUAAGUAACUGUGCACAUCUUGACGGUACCUAAUCAGAAAGCCACGGCUAACUACGUG
rnacentral:rRNA from 1 species